rnacentral:rRNA from 1 species
AUGUGUUUUCGUUGUGGCGGUAAGUACAGCAAAGAGCAUCAGUGUAAGAAACCGAUGCAGUUACUCACAAUUCAGUUGGGUGAAUUUGGAGAAUUUUUAACUGAAGAUGCGGUUCAGGCAUUGGAAUUACUGUCUGAACCUGAAACUUUGGAGUGUUGUCAGAUUUCAGCACAUGCAGUUUUCAGAGCUGAUAAUACAGAAACAAUUCGCAUUCGAGCCUUGGUGGGCAACCAGGUCAUGUUAGCAUUGGUUGACUCGGGUAGUAGUCACAGUUUUGUGGAUGAAAAUUUUGCAAAACGUGCUGCAUUGGACUUGGUAACAGUUCCAUCAGUAAAAGUUACUGUUGCAAAUGGUCAAGCUAUGGAAUCCAAGUUUGAGGCUCCUAAUCUAACUUGGUGGGCACAGGGUCACACUUUUGAGACACCAAUGCACGUGCUCCAGCUAGGGGCCUAUGAUGCAGUGUUGGGAAUGGAUUGGCUUAAGAGUCACAGUCCGAUGACUUGCGAUUGGGAGGGCAAAUCAUUACAAUUUACACACGGUGAUACUAUUAUUUCCCUUCAAGGUGUUCAACCUAUUUCUACUAUGCAAUUGCAAGCUAUGUCAAUAGAGCAAUUGGACAAAGCUCUGCAUGGCAAUGAUAUUUGGGCUAUGGCCGUGGUGGAACCUUCUUCUGGUGAUGUUGUUUCGAUGCCCGGCUCAUAUCCAGAAGAUCUUAUUGCAGUUUUAACAGAAUUCCAGGAUGUGUUUAAAACCCCUACUGGUCUGCCUCCACAUAGAGUGUAUGAUCAUGCAAUUACCUUGGAAGUGGGUCAUAACCCUCCUAACUCUCGCCCUUAUCGAUACUCGCCACAACAGAAGGACGAGAUUGAACGACAGGUGGCAGAGAUGAUCAAGGCAGGGAUUGUAAAACCUAGUAUGAGCCCGUAUGCAUCGCCAGUACUUCUGGUUAAGAAAAAAGAUGGCAGCUGGCGUUUCUGCAUGGAUUACCGCAAACUCAACGCCAUCACAGUGAAGAACAAAUUUCCUCUGCCUAUGGUCGAUGAAUUACUUGAUGAAUUGGCAGGAUCAAAAAUUUUCUCCAAGCUGGACCUCAGGGCAGGUUAUCACCAAAUCCGUAUGCAUGAACCGGAUGAGGAGAAGACUGCAUUCAAGACACAUUCAGGACACUUCCAAUUUCGUGUUAUGCCGUUUGGGGUGACCAAUGGACCACCAACAUUUCAGUGCUUAAUGAACAACAUUUUUGCUCCAGCGAAUCGCAAGUAUGUCAUCAUGUUUCUGGAUGACAUUCUAGUUUUCAGUACCACUUGGGAGGAACAUUUGGAGCAUCUUCGCUCGGUACUACAGACCUUGCGUGAGCAUCAGUUGUUUGUGAAACUUUCCAAAUGCUCAUUUGCUCAAACUAAAAUCCAAUAUUUGGGUCAUGUGAUUUCUUUCGAAGGUGUGGCUACAGAUCCCGAGAAGACUAUGGCGAUGGAACAGUGGCCUCAACCUACCAACGCUACUGAAUUGCGUGGGUUCCUUGGGUUGACCGGGUAUUACCGCAAGUUUGUCCGGAAUUAUGGUACUAUGGCCAAGCCCUUGACUCAAUUGCUAACCAAGAAAGGUUUUGUUUGGUCAGAGUAG